rnacentral:rRNA from 1 species
UACAGAGGUCUCAAGCGUUGUUCGGAUUCAUUGGGCGUAAAGGGUGCGUAGGUGGCGGGGCAAGUUUGGUGUGAAAUCCCGGGGCUCAACCUCGGAACUGCACUGAAUACUGCCUUGCUAGAGCACUGGAGAGGGAACUGGAAUUUACGGUGUAGCAGUGAAAUGCGUAGAUAUCGUAAGGAAGACCAGUGGCGAAGGCGAGUUCCUGGACAGUUGCUGACACUGAGGCACGAAGGCUAGGGAGCAAACGGG